UACGAAGGUCCCAAGCGUUAUCCGGAUUUAUUGGGUUUAAAGGGUGCGUAGGCGGAUUAUUAAGUCAGUGGUGAAAGCCUUCAGCUUAACUGAAGAAUUGCCAUUGAUACUGAUGAUCUUGAGUAUGAUUGAGGUUGGCGGAAUGUGUCAUGUAGCGGUGAAAUGCUUAGAUAUGACACAGAACACCGAUUGCGAAGGCAGCUAACUAAGCCAUAACUGACGCUGAUGCACGAAAGCGUGGGGAGCAAACACG
rnacentral:rRNA from 1 species